rnacentral:tRNA from 1 species
AGCCCGAUAGUCUAGCGGUCAAAUAAUGACAAAAGAUUCCACGCUCUGGACGUGGAGGCGGCAGUUCAAAUCUGCCUCGGGCUA